CUUCCACUACAUCUGCAACCGCCGAGAUCUCUCCUCUAGCGGGCGUCUCUAUUUCCUCCUCUCUUACUCAAAUGGUAGGAGCAAAUCAUCGACUUCCGCCUCAUCGUCGCCAUCCCCCGAUGCGGCACCGCCACGGCCACUGCAACCGUCGCUCGGUUCUUCCGCCAAAUCUUGAUUUCUACAAGUCUUCGAAACAAUGGUUGCUAAGUGAGAGUGAGACUAGGCUUCCUCCUCCCACAAAGCAUCUACUGCUUCAGAAGUGGUGCCGCUGAAUGCUGGCGGUAAAUAUUGGUGCUUGGAAGGUAGAUGUAGUGCUUCGGGGAGAGAGAGAGAGAGGGGUUGGGCUGCAUGACAACUGAUGACGAUAGUUCACAAAAAAAAUUGACUUAAAAGGAAAAGAGUAGCAGUUUUUGUCUCUGGUGGCGGUUUAAAUUUUAGUGCUAUUCAUGAAGCAACCAAGGGAGGAUUAGUUCAUGGAGAUAUUACAGUUUUGGUCACAGAUAAACCUGUGUUCCUGGAAUGCUUUUAAAGGUUAGCAGAGGUUGCUGCAUGCAAUGCUAUUCACAGCAAGGUAGCAGUUCAAUAUUUGGUAUUAAGAAAAAAAGACUCAACUAUGGGAUUCACCCAAAUGUUAACAUCCACAGGACUGACCAUUUAUUGCUUAGUUUUGAUUUUUGUGUUAUCAUGAUCGUCUCAUAUAAAGAUUUAACUCGAGAUGAUGGAUUAAUUCAACAAAGGCUUGGACUCAAGGUGAAGCUCCUGUGACCGCAAAGGAGCAGCUUGGUAUCAGAUGAUCAAACAAACAUGGAGGCAUAAACUUGAACCAGGUGAUUUAAAGCAAACCUUAUUAAGGUAUCGGUUCAUCAGUAUUGGAAUGUCGGUUUUCGCCUUGAUUCCCCCAAAUAAUGAGCCCAUGAUGGUUUUUCCCUGCAAGAUUUCGUAGGGGUUUAUGCUGACUGGUGAGAAGUGCAUUUCCACCCCAAGAAUGAUCGUCUUUCCCCAACCCUGCAUGCCACGAAUUCAACCGAUGGUGCUAAAGGAGAAGAGGGAGAAGUGCGAACCGGCCGACAGCUUUGGAAUGCAUCUGACAUCAAUGAUGCUAAGCCGAUACACUCAAAGCAAUAAUCUGCACCUCCACCAGUCAUUUCCUUAAUCACCUGUUGAAGCAUGAAUUAAAAGAGAAUUAUAAGAUGUAGAUACUCUUGAGAUGGAGUGUUCCAAGGCAAGUUAGCCCUGAAAUGUUUAGAUCAAGAAAAAGAGUAGUGUUACAACCUCACUGAUAGAUCGCUCUCCGAUGUCCAUUGGGUUUACGAAAUCGGUGACCCCAAACGUCUUCCCUAAACCAUACACGAAACCAUGCAUUCAUAGUUACUUCUUUUGAUAAACUACUCUAGAAAAUACCAAUAAAGCCAUAUCUAUACCAGUAAUAGACAGCUUGUGUAUGAUUCACAGUACACUUAUUUGAGCAGAAUGUGAUAUUCAUAAUCAAAACAAAUAAUCUUUUAUAUGAUUAGCAGUUGCAUGGACUCAGGAACAGCUAACAGUGUACUCUAUUUUCAUGUGUGCAUGCUUGCUAUGCUAUUUGACAUGAUGCUUUGAAUCUAAAGCGUGUAGGUAUUCUACAUUGAAUUCUACUGACCAUAUUUAGAUUGCAAGACAGAUGCAUAUGGAGGUGAAGAGGCCAUUGCCCCUAAUCUGAGAUGACUGGAAUCAACAUUUGGAGAUGCUUUUAAAGAAGAAAGCACGCAGAGAUAGAUUCAUUAGGAGCUCUGAGGAGGCCGUACCGAUCUCAAACUUGUCAGGGUUCAGAUCAACACCUAUAAUCCUGCCUGCGCCUUGCAGCCUCGCCCCUUCUGCAACCUGUAAGUCAUGAUAAGUGCAGUGCAGUGCAAUGGUCAUCAUCUAUAGAGAUUGAAACAGAGUGACAGACAGACAGUUCAUCAGCGGAAGAGAGGCCUCACUAAGUAACUCAUCCUCAAUUCCCAUAAACAAAUUUGGUAUGCAUAAAAUCUUAAUAAAGCUAAACUUACAAUUAAACGUUCUUAGUGGAUUCGAUUAAAUGUUCAUGAAAAUUCAUGUUCAUUGACGUUGUCAA